CACUAUUUGUCUUGUAAUUGGAGUGUCUGAGUCCAUUAUGUUUAAUGUAAUUAUUGACCUCAUUGGGUUUAAGUCUGUCCAUUGUCAUUUGCUGCCUUCUAAUAUUAUCUCUUUCUUGCUCAACUAUUUUUCUUAUGUUACCUUCUUUAGAUGAAUAAAAACCUUUGCAUUAUUGUAGUCUUCUAAGUGUCCUAAUUACACAUUCUCUUAUUAUUUCUUUAAUUAUCUGAGAAAGCAUAAUGAUCUGUGACUUCUUAUAACCAAUAGCAGACCACAACUUCCCUGACUUUCACCUACCUGUGCCCACAGCCCAGGGGAGAAUCAGUGCUCUGGCUCUGAGACACAGGGGUGGUGGGAGUAGGAGAGUGAUUGGAUGAUGAAUCUGUAGCUGCAGAGGCAUCUGGGCCCCUCACCUGCAUUCCUCAUAGAUGUCUCCUCCAUUGAAUGCCUGCGAUGCCCUCUCCUCUGUGUACUCCUGCCAGAGUCUCCCUAUCUCCACUGACAGCAGCUCCACCCUUCUGCUCACUCAGUCCAAUACUGUGGGUGUCCUUGAUUCUUCUUCUCACAUCCAUUAGCAAGUGCUGUGAGUCCAUCUUCAAAUUCAUCCAGAAUCCCUUCACUUCUCACUAUUUCCCCUGCUCACACCCUAGUCAAGGUAAGCAACGUGUCCAUCCUAGAAUACUGUACUCCUUUCCCACCAUUUUCCCCACUGCAUCACUGGUUCCCCACCUCUCAAUUCUGUUCUCAGCACAGCAGCCAGAAAGAAGCUUUCAAAGGAUGAGCCCUACCAUGUCCCACUUUUCAAAACUGUCCUCCCCAUGUCAUUCAGAGCAAAGGUCAACACCCUUCCCACACCCUUCAGGGCUACCUGCUCUAGCCACACCUUUGACCUCACUUCAGUUUCUCUGUGUCCAGCCCUUCUGGCCUCUUCCUCCUUCCAGGAACACAGACAAUUUCCUGCCCUAGUGCAUCUGCACUGAAGGUUCCCCUGCCUGAAAAGAACUUUCCCAGACAUCCUUGUAGACAACUCCUCACAUCCCUCAAAUCUUUACUCCAAGGUCACAUUUGCAACAAGGCCCAUGCUGACCACCCAGCACAACAGCCACCUUCCUGUCCCCACAGCCCACCCUCUGGAUCACCUGCCACACAGCACUUGCCACCUUCUAACUCAAGCAUUUUCUGUUCCUACUCUGCUUAUACUAUAUCUAUCAUCUGCCUACAGAGGUGUCCAAUUUUUUGGCUUCCCUGGGCCAGUUGGGAAGAAUAAGCAUUGUCUUGAGCCACACAUAAAAUACACUAAUGACAGCUGAUGAGCAGAAAGAAUAGAAAAAAGAAAAACAUGUGCGUGCAUAAUUUUCAUGAUAUUUGCUACCACAGAUAAGCAAAAAAACUUCUUACAUUCAAAGCUGUCCCGGGCCACACGCAGCCCGAGAGCUGCAGGUUGG
ensembl:lncRNA POLR1HASP POLR1H antisense, pseudogene